UAAUUUUUUAGGAUUUAAGGUGUAGGUUUAAAUGUGACAUAAAUUAUAGGACUCCAUUCUCCUCUCUUUAGUAAUUGAUAUCAUCUAAAAAUCGUAAAAAAAGGUUGGUUGGAGGUGUGGUUCAUCGGUUGACCAUGUAAAGACUCCAUUCCACAAUGUAAUAUAGGAAACGUCAGUGCCAGGUCAGGGAAAGGAUCCCGGCGUUGAUCCUUCGAUGCUCAAGUCAGUCAUCGAAAUAGUAGAAAACAGAGCAACAGUGAAAGUACAAACGUGAAUAGUAAAUAGCACAUAUCUCUACCGAUACAUAGACCCCCUUUAUAUAGUGUCCUAGUGGACGACGUGCACACUCCUCAAGGUACAGACACACUUUCACAAUCGUUUUAUGAAAAGAUAUGUCAGAAAAGUGUCUUUGAUAUCAUACCUUAAUAAGACAUGCAAAUCCUCGAUGAGAUAGUAGAAGCUUCUGCUGUACGAUUCGCCUGUUGAUCAUGCCCUGUUGUCAGUGACAUUACCUCCCAAAGGGAUAUUAAGAGAUAUGGGAAUGACUCUACUGUUCAGCCAAGCGGGCUUUCCGCUCGGCCGACACUCCUCCGCACGGUCGACCUCUGCUGCUUUCCCUGCAUUAAGUUGGUUCAGUAGAUUAUUUCUGUCCGACCGGACAAGCGCUCUAGUCACCUUAAUGUUCCUACGACCCGUAAUGAACAUAUGAUGUUCAUGCCAUGCUCUUAGCCAUACGAACGUUCUGCUCGGACAAACCAUUGGUCGAUUGGACACUUCAUGCCCGAUUGGUAACUGAAGUCGACCUCCGCUUGAUCCACUUUUGGUGAGCUCGUUGGUUCCCUAGAGUUGACCGUCUUGACUUUGACCUCCACCUUGGUUGCUAUCUCCGCCCUUGACCCGCACUUGGUGGACCCUCCCUUAUCACCGCAUCACAAGCCUUCCCCUCAAGUCUAAUCAAAGGAGGCUGUAAGUCCGACUGACUGGACGAGCAGUGUCUUCGGUGACCUUCCGCUAAUCGGGCAUUCUCUGUUCUCGGGUUGUCGAUUGGCUCAUAUCUUCAUAGUCACCAUUCUGCUUUAACUUAUUGACCUGAGCUUAGAACCGUAGCUUAGUUAAGGUGAACAUCGAAGCUGAUUCCUCCCAUAGAGUUAGAGGCGUAGCUUGGCGACUAAUUAGGCACCUGGAUUUAGAGCCGUCACUCGGCUAUCAGUUGUAGACCUGGGUUUAGAGCCACUGUUCGUCUAUCAUUUGACACACCUAUGUUUAGAGCCCCAAUCGGCUAUAUCUUAGUCAGAGCUCUAUGCCCGAUCGGGGUGGUUGGCGACAACACUGAGUAAAAUUUUCACAUCUCGUCACUUUCUCAGACGAGUGCCCUUUAUUGGUUGUUGACGUCCUCCCAAAUUUUGGAAGACUGUGCAAAUCUUUAGCCAUUAUGGCUGAGCAUGCUGUCCAUGUCUUUUAAUUAAGCCCCAUUAAUGCUUCCCCAUCACUAGUUGUCACGUGUCUCGAUCUCUAUCGUCGCACGCUUGAUGUGAUGGGCGGAUAUCCACGGAUGAUAUGACAAUCGCCUUUUUGAAUUCCAUAGUCAGAUUUUGAUUUCGUUAUCUGCAACCCUCGAUCGAACGACUGAGAGUGAUUGCCCCCGGGAUUUGUAAACCCUUAUUUACUCGCCGUUAUCUUCACAUUUCCUUGCAUUUUCUUUCUCACGCACGUUCUUUGAUGCUUCUCCUUCUCUUCGUCUUUGCUGGCGACAUUUCUCAGUAAGCUCUUUCUUUCUUUCUCUUGUCGAGUCCGUGAUCCGCUUCUUUCUCGAUUUUCUAUGGCUGUUUCUCCGUAACCUCCUGUGUCCAUUCUUGGGCUUUGGUAUACUUCUAUCGCGUCGAAAUUCAAUGGGGAUGAGAACGAUCAAAUGAAACUUAUAUAUUGUUUCCCCUCCGAUUAUCAAAUUGUUGUCACUUCAGCCUAUAAUCGGCCUCAUUUGCCUCCCGUCGACUUUUUGCCCUUCUUUAAGGACCAAUUAUGCAUCGGUCUUCAUUUUCCCAUCCACCCUUUCUUCUCAACUAUAUGUAAAUACUUUCUUAUCUCACUGCACCAAUUAGUGUUUAAAUCCUUUAGGUUGUUGUGUCGGGUAGUCGUGCUAUUUCGUCUGCAUGGCAACCCUUUAGUGCCUCAAAUAUUCCAUUAUUUUUAUUAUCCUAAGUUGUCCGAGCCAGGGACCUUUCUGUUCAAAGCUCGAGUGGGCUCUAUCUUUUUUGAUAAAAUGUCGUCUUCCAAUAAGCACUAGAGGGAGCAUAUUUUUUCAUCCAUUUUCCCUCUCGGCCCGAUUUCCUGACCAACUGGUAGAUAGGAGUGAUGAAGUCGUCACUCAGUAGAUAUCGAAGUCGAUCAGACUAUUUCCAAGCAGCUUCCAGCUUGGCUGAUCAAAAGUAUCAUAUCCAUCGACUGCUGUUGGAGAGUGUCUUAUGCGUGUUCAGAUGGAACCCAAUCCGAACGUGGUUGCCUCUCACCCUAGGUAUGUUCUUUCUUUUCUCAAUCUUUGAAUCUAACAGAUUUUUCCUCCUUUUUUGCAGCUCAAAUCAUGUUGAGGGCACGUCUGAGAGGCAAGAGUAGGCUCGCAGACGCAGAGAUUAAUGCCAAGGGCAUUGUCGAGCAAGAGAGCCAUGGCCUAUUGUCGAUCGACCAAUUCGACGAUCCAACCGGCGAGUUUGGAGGAAGCCACGCAGCGGCCAGUGAGUCCAGAGCAAGUCAAAUAGCAGCUAGUGAUGCCGCGAUCGCCACAGAUGAACUUCCUCCUGAUCGACCUUCAAUGUUGUUGAUCGCAGUGUCCUCGGAGUCGAUCACCUUAGGCGAGCCCCUAAUACAACGACGCAAGAGGCACCAAGGGGAAGCUUUGUCUCAUUCGGCAACCUCUACCUUGCAAACCCCCGCCCGUACUGGCUCACGUCCUCCCUCUGAGUGGGGUGAGACUUCAUCACCCGCCUUUCUUGAGCAGGGGACCGUCACAAUUCCUACUUCCCUGUUAUCCAACUGGACGCCCUCACUGUCCGCCCUGCCCUUGAGGACCCUGUGCGUGCCACCUGUCGCGUUCAUUCCACCUCCAUCGUCCUUGCCGGCCGCCCAGGUAUCCACCAUUCACUCUUCCCCCAUGCCCAGGUCCACAGGGCAGGCUACCUCUGAGCCAUCUGGGCCAAGCAGCCGGAGACACAUAAUGGCCAUCAUCCACUUGCCAACUGAUGAGUGGUGCCACCAGGACAACGUCGAGCUCCGCUCCCUCGAACACCAGAUCAGGAGUCAAGGACCGCUGACACAAGUCUAGGUCGAUGCUUGGGUUCGUGCGGACGGCCAUACUCAGAAGGCCACUGGAUUCUGGGUUGAGAGCCUGGCCAUGUGCCAGAGGUUAGCCUUUUUGGAGCAUGAAGUCCAACAAAUGUACGCCCUGAGCGACCCAUCUAAGGCCUCCUAGGCUCAUUUUGAAUAGCUGACUACAGAGGUGGCUCAACUAAAGGCCAACCCGGAAAGGAGCUCCGAGCAGUUCAAUGCCAAGAGGGGCAAGAAUAAUGAUCAGGCCCCACAGAUUGAGUGGCUCACCAAACAUGCUAGCAGCUUCGAGCCCAAGAUCAAUUCCGCUAAUGCCUGUAAACUUCAAGCCAUCGAGGACUUAGACAUCAAAAAUAAAGAGGCUAGGGUCCUGACCCAAAAUCUGAAGGAGGCGGAGGUUGCUCUGGUGACCGAACGUGAGAGCCGAUUAGAGGAGCAAGUGGCUACUAGCCUUCAGCUCAACGGCAAAGAUGUCGAGAUGGCUUCCUUAAAAGCUGAAUUGGAGGCAUCCCGAGAGGCCUUCAAGCAGCACCAAGAGGGAGAGCCCGGACGGUUUGAAGUUCUUAAGCGCAACUAUCUCCGAACCGACCCUUUCAAUGACAGGCUCAUCGAUUAGGCUCUUCGUCUAUUCAACUGCAGCAUUGAUGACACUCUCUAAUAGCUGAAGGACGACAGCUAUCUUUCUCCCGUGCUGACCAAUAAGAUUAUCAACAAGGAGAAGCUCACCGAGUUGUUGUCGGACGAUGUGCUUGAUUAUCUUGAAUAACCUUCUUUUUAGUUUUUCAAGCAGCUUUUUGUACUCCUUCUCAAUAUUCUAUAAAAAUUUUCUAAGUAUCAAUGAAUGUGCGCCCGUUCGGUGCUUUUCAUCUUAUGUUAAA